UACAUGGGGUGCAAACGUUGCUCGGAAUUAUUGGGCGUAAAGCGCACGUAGGCGGUUCGUUAAGUCGGAUGUGAAAGCCCUCGGCUCAACUGAGGAAGUGCACCCGAAACUGGCGAGCUUGAGUACGAAAGAGGAUCGCGGAAUUCCCGGUGUAGAGGUGAAAUUCGUAGAUAUCGGGAGGAACACCGGUGGCGAAGGCGGGUCUCUGGGCCGAUACUGGACGCUGAGGAGCGAAAGCGUGGGGAGCGAACAGG
rnacentral:rRNA from 1 species